rnacentral:rRNA from 1 species
AUGAACGCUGGCGGCAGGCCUAACACAUGCAAGUCGAACGGAGUUAUAUUGUAGCUUGCUAUGGUAUAACUUAGUGGCAGACGGGUGAGUAAUGUAUAGGAAUCUACCUAGUAGUACGGAAUAAUUGUUGGAAACGGCAACUAAUACCGUAUACGCCCUACGGGGGAAAAAUUUAUUGCUAUUAGAUGAGCCUAUAUUAGAUUAGCUAGUUGGUGGAGUAAUAGCCUACCAAGGCAAUGAUCUAUAGCUGAUCUGAGAGGAUGAUCAGCCACACUGGAACUGAGAUACGGUCCAGACUCCUACGGGAGGCAGCAGUGGGGAAUAUUGGACAAUGGGCGAAAGCCUGAUCCAGCCAUGCCGCAUGAGUGAAGAAGGCCUUUGGGUUGUAAAGCUCUUUUAGUGAGGAAGAUAAUGACGGUACUCACAGAAGAAGUCCUGGCUAACUCCGUGCCAGCAGCCGCGGUAAUACGGAGAGGGCUAGCGUUAUUCGGAAUUAUUGGGCGUAAAGGGCGCGUAGGCGGAUUAGUAAGUUAAAAGUGAAAUCCCAAGGCUCAACNUUGGAAUUGCUUUUAAAACUGC